CACCGGAGUUCAAGAGGUUGCAGGAGAGACCCCAAUUGCAUUACCAGGUUGGGGUGACCCCUGAAGGAGUAGAAGUUCCAAGGAGCCUGGUUGAUGAAGAGAUGCAAGAGGAAUUAAAAGCAAUGCCCAAAGAGUUCCAACCAUCCACUCCGAAAGGACCGGAUCGCAAGUGGCGAUACAUGUGGAGAGUAGGUCCUCGGCCGUUGAACACCCAUUUUAAGGAACUUAAUUCAGAACCUGUAAUACCUGAAGGUUUCCCAGAAUGGAAAGAAACUAUGGACUCAUGGGGGCACAAAAUGAUCUCAGCAAUAGAGGCUGUUGCUGAAAUGGCCGCAAUUGGUUUUGGUUUGCCCAAGGAUGCAUUUACUUCUAUUAUGAAGCAGGGACCCCAUCUUCUUGCACCAACAGGGAGUGACCUUGGCUGCUAUGGCCAAGAAGGCACUGUGUUUGCUGGAUAUCAUUAUGACCUUAACUUUCUAACAAUUCAUGGUAGAAGCAGAUUUCCUGGUCUUAACAUUUGGCUAAGGAAUGGACAGAAAGUUGGAGUGAAGGUUCCUCUAGGAUGUCUACUCAUUCAGACAGGGAAGCAGAUAGAGUGGUUGACUGCAGGAGACUGCAUAGCUGGCAUGCAUGAAGUUGUUGUCACAAAGAGAACAAUUGAUGCAGUCAAAUUAGCAUCAGAACAAAACUGUAGCNNNNNNNNNNNNNUUUUUGCACACAUAGCAUCAGAUGCUGUGUUAAAGCCUUUAGGUCACUUCGCAGAAUCCCCGCUAGCCAGCAAAUACCCUCCCAUCCGUGCUGGAGAGUUUGUCGAACAAGAACUUUCUGUAAUCAAUCUGAAAGGAAAUAAAGGUGAAUCAUGAUUACUUUCUAAGUAGUGACCACCAUUAUGCAUCUUGUUGUUCCACUGAUGCAAACAGUGUCUUAUUAUGGUUGUUGGGAUUUUUCAUUUGCAUUAUAAAGAAGGGGGCUUCAGUGGGGCUAGAAUAUUUCUGCAUGUUCUUCCAUGUUUAUUGUGAAUGGUGCACACAUGCUUAUCCUUGAACCCUGUCAGGUUUUGUGAAAUUAGUUAUUAUUGACAUCUUUUUUACUUAAAAAAAAAAAAAAAA
rnacentral:misc_RNA from 1 species